UUCUCUGGAGCCAUUUUCGAGGUCGCAGCCUUGAGGGAGCAAGGCGGGGUGGAGCCCAGAGCCCUUCUGGACGGUAGACGUGGCCCCGUGAGGCCUCUCUGUGAACUUUGAAGAUUCUGGCCGUUGGUGCGGAGGCUUCCUCGCUCCGGGCAGAGACCGCCGCGUCUAAUUAAGGCCUGAGAGUACAUGCGUGUGGUUAAAACUGUCAACAGAAAUGGAGGGCAGAAAUUAAAAGGGCAAAAGUCAUCCAGACUUCCCUGAUUCUCCAAGGAGAAUGGAGAACAUGGACAGCUGAGUGGACGGAUGGAAGGAUGGAUGGAUGGACAGAAGGAUGAACUGACUAGAAGCAACAGAACAAUCAUCUACUUUGUGCAUUAACAUACCUCAGCAUCCCACAAAUAUUUACUGGUGCCCCGGGCCUCCUGUUCCAGAAGCAGAGGAAGCAGAGAUGUCUGAGUGAGACAAGGUCUCCUCUCUUACAGCCUUUACAUUUUCGUGGGGGACCCAGAAAAUAAAGACAGACAUGCUACAUAAUGGAUGGUGGUGAUGCUAGGAGUAGGCUCCAUGGAGCCCAAUGUGGGCUGACCCUGAGAUCAAGACCUGAGCUGAGAUCAAGAGUUGGCUGCUUAAUGGACUGAGCCCCCCAGGUACGCCUCUUACGGGUGAUUUCAUGGAUAAUUUAGGGUUAUUUUUUCUGUGCUCUGGAUCAGUACUAUCCAAAAGAAAUGUAAUGUAAGCCAUCUAUGUAAUUUUAAAUCUUCUAGUAGACACAUCAAAAAAAGUAAAAACAAAUAAGUGAAAUUAAUUCUAAUGAUCUAUUUGAAUUAACUCAAUAUAGUCAAAGUAAUACAGUUUCAAAAACUAACGAAUAUAAAAAUGUUAAUGAGAUAGUUAACAUUGGGUUUUUUUUCCACACUAAGCCCUUUAGAGUCCACAACCCAUCUCAAGUUAGAUUAGCCACAUUUCUACUGCUCAAUAGCCAUGUGUGGCUAGUGGCUGCCAUUUUGGAUAGUGUAUCUGAAGACUUUGGAAUCUAACUUGGUUUCAGAGGAAGGAAGGCCUUAUGCAGUGGUUCUCUGGAUUCAUAUUAGAUUCAUCUGGGAGAUUAAAAUUUUUUUUAAUGUUUAUUCAUUUUGAAAGAGAGAGAGAAGAAAGAGAAAGAGAGAAUGUGCAUGAGUGGGAUAGGGGCAGAGAGAGAGAGAGGGAGAUACAGAAUCUGAAGCAGG